rnacentral:tRNA from 1 species
GGAGAUGUAGCUCAGUUGGUUAGAGCGCAACAUUGACAUUGUUGAGGUCGGAGGUUCGAGCCCUCUCAUCUCCACCA